rnacentral:ncRNA from 1 species
AAAAAGACGUUGAACAGGAACUUGAAAUACAAAAUACUUCAGAAAGUUGUCGGUUGAUGCGAGGCAAUAGUAUUGUAUUUUCUAUAUCACCUGCCAGUCGUACUUCGAAAUAGACUUCUAAAUUAGAAAGUACUGAUUGCACUCAUUAUCGUGCUAGCAAAUUGUUUACAGUUUGUUAUAAAGGCUGCAUUAGUAAUAAUGUAGCAAAUAAAGGUGGUAACACGUUUCUAACGUCCUUUGA